CCUACGUGAGGCAGCAGUGAGGAAUAUUGGUCAAUGGGCGCGAGCCUGAACCAGCCAAGUAGCGUGAAGGAUGACUGCCCUACGGGUUGUAAACUUCUUUUAUAAAGGAAUAAAGUGAGGCACGUGUGCCUUUUUGUAUGUACUUUAUGAAUAAGGAUCGGCUAACUCCGUGCCAGCAGCCGCGGUAAUACGGAGGAUCCGAGCGUUAUCCGGAUUUAUUGGGUUUAAAGGGAGCGUAGAUGGGUUGUUAAGUCAGUUGUGAAAGUUUGCGUCUCAACCGUAAAAUUGCAAUUGAUACUGGCAGUCUUGAGUACAGUUGAGGUAGGCGGAAUUCGUGGUGUAGCGGUGAAAUGCUUAGAUAUCACGAAGAACUCCGAUUGCGAAGGCAGCUUACUAAACUGCCACUGACAUUGAUGCUCGAAAGUGUGGGUAUCAAACAGGAUUAGAUACCCUUGUAGUC
rnacentral:rRNA from 1 species